rnacentral:rRNA from 1 species
UACGGAGGGGGCAAGCGUUGUUCGGAAUUACUGGGCGUAAAGGGCGCGCAGGCGGCUGCUCAAGUCAGGCGUGAAAGGCCUGGGCUCAACCCGGGAAUUGCGCUUGAGACUGGGCUGGCUUGAGUGCGGGAGAGGAUGGUGGAAUUCCCAGUGUAGAGGUGAAAUUCGUAGAUAUUGGGAAGAACACCAGUGGCGAAGGCGGCUCACUGGUCCGGUACUGACGCUGAGGUGCGAAAGCGUGGGGAGCAAACAGG